AUGAACGCUGGCGGCGUGCCUAAUCCAUGCAAGUCGCGCGAACGGACGAGAAGCUUGCUUUUCUGAUGUUAGCGGCGGACGGGUGAGUAACACGUGGAUAACCUACCUAUAAGACUGGGAUAACUUCGGGAAACCGGAGCUAAUACCGGAUAAUAUUUUGAACCGCAUGGUUCAAAAGUGAAAGACGGUCUUGCUGUCACUUAUAGAUGGAUCCGCGCUGCAUUAGCUAGUUGGUAAGGUAACGGCUUACCAAGGCAACGAUGCAUAGCCGACCUGAGAGGGUGAUCGGCCACACUGGAACUGAGCCACGGUCCAGACUCCUACGGGAGGCAGCAGUAGGGAAUCUUCCGCAAUGGGCGAAAGCCUGACGGAGCAACGCCGCGUGAGUGAUGAAGGUCUUCGGAUCGUAAAACUCUGUUAUUAGGGAAGAACAUAUGUGUAAGUAACUGUGCACAUCUUGACGGUACCUAAUCAGAAAGCCACGGCUAACUACGUG
rnacentral:rRNA from 1 species